rnacentral:rRNA from 1 species
UAGGGAAUAUUGGGCAAUGGAGGCAACUCUGACCCAGCAACGCCGCGUGAAUGAAGAAGGUUUUCGGAUUGUAAAGUUCUGUUCUAAGGGAAGAAAAAAAUGACGGUACCUUAGAAGAAAGCCACGGCAAACUACGUGCCAGCAGCCGCGGUAAUACGUAGGUGGCAAGCGUUGUCCGGAAUAACUGGGCGUAAAGGGAGUGUAGGCGGCUAUUUAAGUUAAAUGUGAAAGCCUGGGGCUUAACCCCAGAAUUGCAUUUAAUACUGGAUAGCUAGAGUGCAGGAGAGGAUAAUGGAAUUCCUAGUGUAGCGGUAGAAUGCGUAGAUAUUAGGAGGAACAUCAGAGGCGAAGGCGAUUAUCUGGACUGUAACUGACGCUGAGACUCGAAAGCGUGGGGAGCAAACA